AGUGACAUCAUCACCCUGUGCCAAGAAUCUCGGAGUGGUGAUGGACAACAGGCUGUCCCUCUCCAAGAACAUCGCAGCAGAUGGAGCACUGAGACAGUGGUCAGGGUGGUGAUUGUAGUGCUGGCCACCCUGGGGAUGCUAAAGGUUCUUAUGUGGUACUGCAGGAGACGCCCAGCAAGUGAGCUUGACAACCAAGAGUCAGCACAGCCUGAGGAGUGAUCAUAUCAGCAAAGCCCUAGAGGACCAAUGCAAUGGAGAGCUUCCCUCAUAUGUACAGCUCCCAUUGAUGUGUAUAAAUGUCUUUAAGCUGUGCAGAAUUUAGCCUUCAAAAAGGAAGAGAACAAAUAGAAACGUAUUUCAAUUUUAAUAAAACAUAAAGGGCAUAUUGUAAAAUGCAAAAUAUUUUCAUUUUAAAGAACCAUUAUUAGUGCUGGUCAAAUAUAUAACAGACACAACCAACUCCCAUUUCACCUAUCAUUAACAAAAGGGCUUCAGCCUACAGCUGACUGGCUGAUCAACAGGAACCAUCAGAACUGUCGUCUCUCCUGAUUGAUGUGUGUUGCUAUACCAACGCAGAAAGUAUUUAUGAGUGAUCAAAACAUCCUUUUCACAGAUCUUUAUUGUUAAUUAUUCCAUUUUGCUGGAUUUAGCUAAAUCUGUGGUGACUGGUGGUCAAAAAUGUUUGUAUUCACGCUUCAAAUACCAUAGUUCAAAUCUAGCUGAAGAUACUUCUAGGAGCACGUUGCGUGCAUAUUUUUCUUAAAAGAUUAAUCCAGCGGUAAUGUACUUUGGAGAACGAUAGAGACACACCGUAAUAUUGACCCACAUAUCAAACCUAAUUUGAAUGAUGCUUUUUGGAGUUUUGGUCAAGUUCAAGUUCCUUUGCGUGUGUCAUCACAUGUGAACACUUGGCAGGACUGUUAGCGUAUUGACUGUUAGCAGCAUAUAGGCUAUAAAAGAGCAAUUACAGAAUCCAAACCCAGUGAAAUGAUGUUGCCACAAAAACUCCAUCAUUUAAAGGAUUGACACUUUAAUUGCUGUAUAUUACUUACAUCUCCAGUUCUUGAAAAAUGACAGAAAAUGUUUGUUUUAAAAGGUUAUUUUAUAGUGUUUUCGGUUCAAAUGCUAUUGCAUUCUUUAAUAAUUAUUAUGCUUGGGAUGUGCACAAUACCUAGUUGUUUAUCGCUAAUUUAUUCAUGAUGCUUUUGUGAGUUAAUUUUAUCUUAGUUAUAAAUAGCUCAGCAUACAAAUAUCACUGUCAAAAUAAAAAUGUGUUGAUUUGUUGA